AGGUCCAGCCUGCCCAGUGAUAAAUUCAACGGCCACGGUAUCCUAACCGUGCAAAGGUAGCAUAAUCACUUGUUCUUUAAAUAAGGACUAGUAUCAACGGCAUCACGAGAGUCAUACUGUCUCCUUUCCCCCAUCAGUGAAACUGAUCUCCCCGUGAAGAAGCGGGGAUAAAACUAUAAGACGAGAAGACCCCAUGGAGCUUUAAACCCUAAGCAACCUUAUCCCAUACCCCCUCAUAAACACAAAGCCUUGCUCAACGGUUUUAGGUUGGGGUGACCACGGAGUAAAAAUCAACCUCCAAGACGAAAAGAACUAAACCUUUAUCCAAGAAAUACCACUCUAAGAAUUAGAACACUAACGUAUAAUGACCCAACAAUGAUCAACGAACCAAGUUACCCUGGGGAUAACAGCGCAAUCUACUUCAAGAGCCCAUAUCGACAAGUAGGCUUACGACCUCGAUGUUGGAUCAGGAUAUCCCAGUGGUGCAGCCACUACUGAUGGUUCGUUUGUUCAACGAU
rnacentral:rRNA from 1 species